GAUGAACGCUGGCGGCGUGCUUAACACGUGCAAGUCGAACGGAAAGGCUCCUGCUUGCAGGGGUACUCGAGUGGCGAACGGGUGAGUAACACGUGGGUGAUCUGCCCAGCACUUCGGGAUAAGCCUGGGAAACUGGGUCUAAUACCGGAUAGGACGAUGGUUUGGAUGCCAUUGUGGAAAGUUUUUUCGGUGUGGGAUGAGCUCGCGGCCUAUCAGCUUGUUGGUGGGGUAAUGGCCUACCAAGGCGUCGACGGGUAGCCGGCCUGAGAGGGUGUACGGCCACAUUGGGACUGAGAUACGGCCCAGACUCCUACGGGAGGCAGCAGUGGGGAAUAUUGCACAAUGGGCGCAAGCCUGAUGCAGCGACGCCGCGUGGGGGAUGACGGCCUUCGGGUUGUAAACUCCUUUCGCUAGGGACGAAGCGCAAGUGACGGUACCUGGAGAAGAAGCACCGGCUAACUACGUG
rnacentral:rRNA from 1 species